rnacentral:rRNA from 1 species
CAGCACCUCAAGUGGUCAGGAUGAUUAUUGGGCCUAAAGCGUCCGUAGCCGGUUUAGUAAGUCUUUUGUGAAAUUGUUGUGCUUAACACAACACUGUGCAAAAGAUACUGUUAAACUUGGAACUGGGAGGAGUUAGGGGUAUUCCAAGGGGAGCGGUAAAAUGCUAUAAUCCUUGGAGGACCACCGGUGGCGAAAGCGCCUAACUAGAACAGAUUCGACGGUGAGGGACGAAAGCCAGGGGAGCAAACCGGAUUAGAUACCCGAGUAGUCC